UUGCUUUGGCAGCACAUAUACCAAAAUUAGAACAAUACAGAGAAGAUGGGUAUGGACCCUGCACAAGGAUGACAUGCAAAUUCAUUAAGUCUUCCAUAUUUUA
ensembl:snRNA U6 U6 spliceosomal RNA